AAGUCGUAACAAGGUUUCCGUAGGUGAACCUGCGGAAGGAUCAUUACAAGUCGAGUGGGGUGAGUGAGAGGGGGGGAAACCCUUCUCCAGCACAACACAUGUUUGCCCGUUUGUUGGUUUGACAGAGUCAGAUGGUGACGGCAAUGCUAGACAACUUUUAACAAUGGAUCUCUUGGCUCUU
rnacentral:misc_RNA from 1 species